rnacentral:ncRNA from 1 species
CUGGUUGGUAAUCAGGUUUCGAGUGUAAGUGCACAAGGGAGCUUGACUGCGAGACCGGCAGGUCGAGCAGGGACGAAAGUCGGAACUAGUGACCCGGCGCUGGCUUGUGGAAGCGGCGUCGCUCAACGGAUAAAAGGUACCCCGGGGAUAACAGGCUGAUCUUGCCCAAGAGUCCAUAUCGACGGCAUGGUUUGGCACCUCGAUGUCGGCUCGUCGCAUCCUGGGGGUGGAGUCUCUCCCAAGGGUUGGGCUGUUCGCCCAUUAAAGCGGUACGCGAGCUGGGUUUAGAACGUCGUGAGACAGUUCGGUCCCUAUCCGCUGUGCGCGUAGGAAAUUUGAGAAGGGCUGUCCCUAGUACGAGAGGACCGGGAUGGACGAACCUCUGGUGUGUCAGUUGUUCUGCCAAGAGCACCGCUGAUUAGCUACGUUCGGAAGUGAUAACCGCUGAAAGCAUCUAAGCGGGAAGCACGCUUCAAGAUGAGAUUUCCAUGGACUUUAAUGUCCGAGAGGCUCCCAGCUAGACUACUGGGUUGAUAGGCCAGACGUGGAAGUGCAGUAAUGCAUGUAGCUGACUGGUACUAAUAAGCCGAUAACUUGAUACA